AUAUAUAUAUAAGCAAGGAGAGCAGAAUAACUUUUUUACAUUGUAAAUAAAAGUAGCAUGUUUUUUUUAUGUACAUAUCUAAAAACACAAUAAGUGACGUUAUUAUUUCACCCAAAUUAUGAUAAGUAAAUCUUUUAUUUAUUAAUACAUCCUAUUAAAAAUGGGGCAUGUUGAUCUUGUCGUAUAACCAGGGACGAAGUUAUAAAUUUAACUAAGAGGGGGCACCUUAAAAAAUUCGAGCUCCUUUUUUGGACAAAUAAAGCUACUUCUUUUACAAAUGCUGAAAAAAUUAGUUACAAAAUGCCUAAUUUUAUUACUCUAUUGUUUAAUUUUGUCUUUAAUUGUUGUAUUGACAAUCAAAUGCUCAAUUGUACUAACUAACCAAAUACAUGCAACUCAAUAAGGUUUAGACAUUAGUGCAUGAGAAAUAUAUAGGAAUGAAGUAGGGGCAUUUAAAAACUAAAAGAGGAUUUUCAUUAUUUUAAUAUGAUUAAUUGAAUAAUUUGUAAAGCAAAAAAAAUGAGAAUGAUUAAUUGAAUAAUUUGUAAUGCGAACAAAAUAGGAUGAGAGGGGGCAUGUGCCCCUACUGAGCCCCUACUGAGCCUUACCUCCCUUCGUCCAUGCGUAUAACAUUAACAUGUAAAGUAGUAAACCACAUAACUUGUAUUCUCUGACACCUAUAAAAAUUUAUCGAAUAGCAUCUCCCUUUUUAUUUAUUUUGUUUGGAAUGAAAAAAAGGAGAGAGGAAUGUCGUGUCAUGGGCUUCAUAAGUGUUCACAAUUAAUUGUUACCAAUCACUUAUGUUUGGAGGGAGAAAAAAACACUUCACCAUAUAAGAAUAAGAAAGGAAAAGUAUAAGAAUAGUUAUGGUGGUUAGAUUAUUUUUUUUUUUUUAAUAUAGUACGUUUUGAGUUUAAACUUCAUUUUAAUUUAAAUUAAAGUAGUAAUAUCGCAAAAAUGAGUACUCUUCAACGGAUUAAACUAUUUGGGAUUCACCUAACAAUUUAUGGUUAGCAAAACCGCAGAGAAUUGAAGUUUAUCAAUUGUUGGGUGAUGACAAAGAUUUGGACACGUACAUGGUACAUGUUAGUUUCUUAAAUGUUUACUAGUAUAUGGGCACACACAAAGUGUGUGUGAAAAUUUUUUAUUUUUGUUUUCGAAAUAGAAGGAGAUAAUGUGGGAGUGAGAAGUUUUUUUUUUUUUUUUUUCAUUAGAGAUAUGUUAGGAUUAUAUGUAGGUGAGGCUUUGAAAAAAAACAGUAAAAUUUGGUUGUGUGAAAUUACAUUUCUUCUCUGUAUUACUUAUUCAUGUUCUGUUUUAAUUAGAGGGUUAAAUUGGUAAUUUCAUAGAACUUUGAUUGACAAUGAGUGUUUUAUUAAUUAGUAGAGAUAACAAGAACACGUCGAACACCUAAACUACCCACCUUUCUAAUCUCAUAUAACUUUCAUUCACAUCCAAUGAGCAGCCAUGUACAUAUGCAAAUCCUAAGGAGUAAGCACUCCCAUAUGUUUAUUUUCCUCUUAAUUGUAACCAUUUUCUGCAUGCAUGUCUCAUCGUGCAUGUAAUUUGUUUGGACCGAAAUUGGGCAUAGGGUCCAGUCACAGACCAGUCUUUUGAAAUAGCCUCACUUCUUGGUGAGAAUUUAAUCUGGACAUAAAGGAAAAAUAAUCGUUCCAAAAUUUGAAAGUACUUUUGGCGUGGCAAGUUUGGGCGGCAAGACCACCCUUGUUCACACGAUAUAAAUAAAAUUUUGCAGGCAGAUUUUGUAGGAAAAAUCACUUUUCAGUGGCAAAACUCGUAAAUUCAAGCGGAUUAAAGCUCAGGUAUCCAAGUGAGGACUCAUCGUUUGCCAAUAAUCACAUUAGUCACUUGUAUGAAAGGAAAUGUAUCAAGCCAAAGAGGCUUAUUUCGCAAGAAAGAAAGCUCCUAUAAAGGUAGCAGGAGAAUUAGAGAAAUGAACACUUAACUGAAACAACCAGAAAGACUUCUAAAAACUUUGCAACUUUUCAUACACUCCUUUUGUAGUUUAAACACUUCCUUUAUAGUUUUAGCUAUGCUACUUUCCGUUUGUACCUUGUAAUUGCAAAGAGCUUGCCCGACAUGCCUCUAAGUUUGUUUGAAUAGGCUAAAACUUUUUCCGAUCAUUUGUAUUUGUCAUUUACUUUCAAGCUAUUGUCUUUCCACCCAAUUUAUUGCCAUUUUAAUUAACACUUUACGAACCUGCAAACUUUUUACCUUUAAUUCUUGCUUAUUAUCUUCUUUGUUUUACUUUCUGUCUUACUCUUUCAUAAAUGAUUGUAAGCUGAUUUGGAUCACUGCUGAUCAGUUUGUGAUUGUGUUUUUGGCAUUUAACAUAAAAGAAAUUUAAAGUCCGUGUCUUCAAGGCAUAGAAAAGAACUUAUUAUGGAUUCAACUUCUCCAUUAACAAUCUUUUGAUUAAGAGGCUCAGUGAACUUGUGGCACAAGCAAAUGAUCUAUAAAACAUCUAAAUUCCAUCUACAAUAUGUUGUGGUCAACAGUGGCACACCUAACAUUUUAUUAACUUUGUAAAAUGGCCUAAGAGCCUAAUAAAGGCUUCACUAAGGUACAUUUCAAAAUUAACAGGAGAGUCCAUCACCAAUGCAUGGGAAGUUGUGCGAGAUUCUUACAAACCGAACAUAAUUUAAUUCAUGUAGACACGCACAUGGUACUGUUCGGGCCAGAUCUGUCCCUCGCAUAACUCCCUUUGUCUUUCCUGUCGGGGCAAGGUUUGUUGCUUAUUCUUCUGCAAUAUACGUUUAUUGUUAGUUUGCAUGGUGCCUUUGUGGAGCCUUUAUUAGGCCUUAAGGCUCACAAUCAAAACUAACAUGGAUCUGAACAUGCCAUUGUUCUUUUUGUCUAACAGAUUGUUUACUUGAUUGUUCAAUUAAUCGAUUUCUUGCGCUACAAGUCACUUUAACUUCUUCUAUUUUUGGGAUUGUUCAUAGAUGGGUUAAGUCUGCAUUGAGUUCUUUUCUUGCCUUUUGAUCAAGGACUUUCAUUUAUAACAUCAUUCGUUCGUUCACAAAGAAGUUCAAGGUCAUUUACAUUAAUUCCCUAAUUAUUAGCUUAGGCGGAUGUCAAGGAAACAAGAGUAAUUAGUUUAAUAGGAUUAAUCAUAACUAAAACUUGAAUAGAAUUAGUUAAAAAUGACAUGAGGCUUAAAUUAAAGAUACAGAAAUAACAGAUCUAUUGUACAUAAAUACAAAUAAAGGAUUCAGGCAAGAUUACAACAUUAUUGGGCAAGGUUCGUCUUCUUGCAGACACCUCUCAUUGUGUUUGACAGUGAUUGCAAUCUUGGAAAAGUAAAUAUAAAUAUAAACAAGGUUUACUAAAGGGAUUCCAUACUACAACAAAGGAAAUGGUAACAAAGCUUCUAAAACUAGACAAAAGAGAACUUUAUAUGGUAGACCUACCAUUCGAAAGGGACAAGGGAUGAACAAACUAGAGCUUUUUUUUGUUUUUGUUGUUGAUUGAAUUGAGAGUUGCUUGAUUGAUUGGUUGAGAUAACGUUUUUUCUCAUGCCCCUCAUGGCUUUUGUAGACUUUUGUAGCCUGAUUGUCCAAGCCUUCCCUUUUGGUAAUGGCUUCUAGAGCACGGUGAGUCAUUAUCAACUUUU
rnacentral:lncRNA from 1 species